rnacentral:rRNA from 1 species
GUGCCAGCCGCCGCGGUAAGACGGACCGUACGAACGUUAUUCGGAAUUACUGGGCUUAAGGGUGCGUAGGCGGCUCAGAAAGUUGAAUGUGAAAGCCCUCGGCUUAACCGAGGAAUUGCAUCCAAAACUACUGGGCUUGAGUGAGACAGAGGUGAGCGGAACUCACGGUGGAGCGGUGAAAUGCGUUGAUAUCGUGAGGAACACCGGUGGCGAAAGCGGCUCACUGGGUCUUUGCUGACGCUGAGGCACGAAAGCUAGGGGAGCGAACGGGAUUAGAUACCCCCGUAGUCC